AGGCCGAAGUACAUGAUUCCAUGCUUCCAAGAAAAGCAUCUAGAGAGAGAAGUAGUGCCCGUACCGCAAACCGACACAGGUAGAUGAGGAGAGAAUCCUAAGGCCGGCGGAAGAAUUGCAGUUAAGGAACUAGGCAAAUUGACCCCGUAAGUUCGCGAGAAGGGGUGCCUGCGAGAGCAGGCCGCAGAGAAUAGGCCCAAGCAACUGUAUAGCAAAAACACAGGUCUCUGCUAAAGCGUAAGCUGAUGUAUAGGGGCUGACGCCUGCCCGGUGCUGGAAGGUUAAGGGGAACACUUAGCGCAAGCGAAGGUGUGAACUUAAGCCCCAGUAAACGGCGGCCGUAACAAUAACGGUCCUAAGGUAGCGAAAUUCCUUGUCAGGUAAGUUCUGACCCGCACGAAUGGCGUAAUGACUUGGGCACUGUCUCAACUGCAAAUCCGGCGAAGUUGUAGUGCGAGUGAAGAUGCUCGCUACCCGCGAUUGGACGGAAAGACCCCGUAGAGCUUUACUGUAGCUUAGCAUUGAAUUCCGGUAUUGUCUGUACAGGAUAGGUGGGAGACUGGGAAACUAGGGCGUCAGCCUUAGUGGAGUCAACCUUGGGAUACCACCCUGACAGUACUGGGGUUCUAACAGGACGCCAUGAAUCUGGUGACUGGACAUUGUUAGGUGGGCAGUUUGACUGGGGCGGUCGCCUCCUAAAAAGUAACGGAGGCGCCCAAAGGUUCCCUCAGAACGGUCGGAAAUCGUUCGUAGAGUGCAAAGGCAGAAGGGAGCCUGACUGCGAGACAUACAAGUCGAGCAGGGACGAAAGUCGGGCUUAGUGAUCCGGUGGUACCUCGUGGGAGGGCCAUCGCUCAACGGAUAAAAGCUACCUCGGGGAUAACAGGCUGAUCUCCCCCAAGAGUCCACAUCGACGGGGAGGUUUGGCACCUCGAUGUCGGCUCGUCGCAUCCUGGGGCUGUAGUAGGUCCCAAGGGUUGGGCUGUUCGCCCAUUAAAGCGGCACGCGAGCUGGGUUCAGAACGUCGUGAGACAGUUCGGUCCCUAUCCGUCGCGGGCGUAGGGAAUUUGAGAGGAGCUGUCCUUAGUACGAGAGGACCGGGAUGGACUGACCUCUGGUGCACCAGUUGUUCCGCCAGGAGCAUGGCUGGGUAGCUAAGUCGGGAAGGGAUAAACGCUGAAAGCAUCUAAGCGUGAACCCUCCCUCAAGAUGAGAUUUCCCAUAGCAUAAGCUAGUAAGACCCCUUGAAGAACACAAGGUUGAUAGGUCAGAGGUGUAAGUGCGGUAACGUAUUUAGCUGACUGAUACUAAUAGGUCGAGGGCUUGACCAA
rnacentral:rRNA from 1 species